rnacentral:rRNA from 1 species
UAAAGAAAGUAAGAAAGGGCGUAUGGCGGAUGCCUAGGCUCACGGAGGCGAUGAAGGACGUGAUAAGCUGCGAUAAGCUUCGGGUAGGUGCAAAUAACCCUUGAUCCGAAGAUUUCCGAAUGGGACAACCUAACCGUCUGAAGGACGGUUACUCUUACCAAUGUAAGAGGGCUAACGCAGGGAACUGAAACAUCUUAGUACCUGUAGGAAGAGAAAAUAAAUGAAUGAUUCCCCCAGUAGUGGCGAGCGAACGGGGAACAGCCCAAACCGUUGACGUCGCAAGGCGCCAGCGGGGUUGUAGGACUGCGACAUUGUAUCGGAAUGAUGACCAGAAGUAUCUGGAAAGUUACAUCACAGAGGGUGAUAAUCCCGUAUGGGAAGUCAAACCGAGCAUAGCAGUAUCCUGAGUAACGCGGGACACGAGGAAUCCUGCGCGAAUCUGCCGGGACCAUCCGGUAAGGCUAAAUACUCCCGUGAGACCGAUAGCGAACGAGUACUGUGAAGGAAAGGUGAAAAGAACCCCGAGCAGGGGAGUGAAAUAGUUCCUGAAACCAUACGCCUACAAGCGGUCGGAGCACAGCAAUGUGUGACGGCGUGCCUUUUGCAUAAUGAUCCUACGAGUUACCGUCACUGGCGAGGUUGAGUACCAUGAGGUACGUAGCCGCAGUGAAAGCGAGCCUGAAUAGGGCGCACAGUCAGUGGGGGUAGACGCGAAACCAAGUGAUCUACACUUGGCCAGGAUGAAGUCCCGGUAACACGGGAUGGAGGUCCGCACCAAUAAGCGUUGAAAAGCUUCUGGAUGAGCCGAGUGUAGGAGUGAAAGGCCAAUCAAACUUGGAGAUAGCUCGUACUCCCCGAAAGGCAUUUAGGUGCCGCGUCGGAUGGUCACCGUGAGAGGUAGAGCGACCGAUAGGACGAGAGGGCUUCACCGCCUAUCGAGUCCUGACGAACUCCGAAUGCUCACGGUCUGCAGUCCGGCAGUAAGGGGGCGGGUGCUAAGGUCCGUCCCCGAGAGGAGAAGAAUCCAGACCGCCGUCUAAGGUCCCGGAGUUCUGCCUGAGUUAGUCUAACGAAGUCUGGUCCCUAUGACAGCUAGGAUGUUGGCUUGGAAGCAGCCAUUCAUUCAAAGAGUGCGUAACAGCUCACUAGUCGAGGGUCCGGGCAUGGAUAAUAAUCGGGUAUAAGGCAGACACCGAAGGCGCGGGAUAGCA